rnacentral:lncRNA from 1 species
AAAAAACACACUUUGAGAAACACUGGAUUAAAUUGUGAAACAAAUUGUAUCUAGGCAAUGGUAUAUAUCUCAAUUUAGCACUAAAAUGUGAUUGAGCUUUUAAAUAAAAUAAUUACUGAUUAGCGGAUGUUUGCACUUAGCUAUUUGGAUAAAGUUUCUUUCACGGAAACUAACAAAAAACUAGAACGGAAAACUAUGCUAACCAGGAGUCUCAGUUGCCCACACCUGUGAGAAUGGCAUCCUAUGAAGCAGCUCCUCCAGUUUAGAUGCUUUCACACAGUGCUUCUCAACCCUAACUCCAAAUUAGCCUCAUCUGGGGCUCUUAAACAUCCCAGUGCCCGGGAUCCACCUCAAACAAAUUAAAUCUGAACAUUUCGGGGUGGAGCCCGAGUAACAGCAAUUUUAAAAAGCUCACCAACCAAUGCUAAUGUGCAGCCAAGGUCAAGAACCACCAGCUCUAAUGAGAACUGAGGGGCUAGUCUUGCAAAACCAGCUCUGGAAAGCAAAGGCAAGCAUGACCACCUGGUUCUCCAAUGGCACGCAGGCUGGACCUUAGAAAUAACUGGGCAUCUGGUGAAAAGACCAGCAUUUCAGAACGCACCCUGGAAGCGAGCUGGUCUGGGGUUCUCAAACGUGGAUUUUGCAGGUGGGACCUCUGAAACAACAACAGGCAGCUGCCUUUAGCUCCCACAUUGUAUGGCCUAACCCUGACCUCCUUCAAGGAAAAACUCCGCCUCCAUGCAGGCCAUAUGAGAAGUCUGACUUCAUGCCCAGCUCCAGAAUGUUCCAAAGACAUGGCCACAUGCUACAAGCCCAGGAAGAAGGCCACCACAGAGGCCAGCAAAGCCAAGAGCAUCUCAGGAAAAUGGGGCAAGAGCUCCUGGAUUAAGCCAGCACUGAAGCCCGCCCUAUCUCUGGACUUCCAAUCACAUAGCUCAAUAAACGUCUUUCUUCUUUAAG